AAAAAUAUAUAUUUGAGCAAUGAGUAUAUAUUUUUAGUAUAAAAUUUAUUCUCGAAAGCAGUCGACUAUUUUGAUGUUUUCGAAGUCGCUGCGAAUAGUUUGAGUCUCUGUGAAGCUUUUUCGGUGGUGGUGAGGAAACUCCGUCAAAAGCUCAUUGUUUCAUUUUGCUGCCUCGAAAAAGGUACAAGUUGUAGCGCAUACACCAUAUUCAGUCAGGUUCGCAGCUUCCAGUCAGCAAGUGAUGGGUCCUUUUGUUUCGAGGGCUCGAGUCAGUUAUACAGUUUGAGAAGUAUUGCAUUUUCUUUAUUCAAUCGUAUUGAGUUAGGAUAGUUGGGAGUCAUGACCCGGCUAUCUAUAGUCAGUACUAGUAGAGGCUUCAUAGACAGUCAGUAGUGUUGAUGUAUUUUACUUCCAUUUUAUUCGUAAAAGCAGAGUUGUAAUCUUGUAAACUCAGAUGUUGUAUUGAUCAAGUUCAGAGAAGUUUUAUUGUUUUCGUUGAUUUUGUUCA